UGGGGGAUAUUGCACAAUGGAGGAAACUCUGAUGCAGCAACGCCGCGUGAGGGAAGAAGGUUUUCGGAUUGUAAACCUCUGUCCUCAGGGACGAUAAUGACGGUACCUGAGGAGGAAGCUCCGGCUAACUACGUGCCAGCAGCCGCGGUAAUACGUAGGGAGCGAGCGUUGUCCGGAUUUACUGGGUGUAAAGGGUGCGUAGGCGGCUCUGCAAGUCGGGUGUGAAAACCGUGGGCUUAACUCACGGAUUGCACUCGAAACUGUGGGGCUUGAGUGGAGUAGAGGCAGGCGGAAUUCCCGGUGUAGCGGUGAAAUGCGUAGAGAUCGGGAGGAACACCAGUGGCGAAGGCGGCCUGCUGGGCUUUAACUGACGCUGAAGCACGAAAGCAUGGGUAGCAAACAGG
rnacentral:rRNA from 2 species